GACAGAGGUGCCGAGCGUUAGGCGGAAUCACUGGGCUUAAAGCGUGUGUAGGCGGACCGUUAAGUGUCUUGUGAAAUCCCCCGGCUCAACCGGGGAAUUGCUGGGCAUACUGGCGGUCUUGAGCAGUCUAGGGGCAGAUGGAACAAGUGGUGGAGCGGUGAAAUGCGUAGAUAUCAGGAGGAACACCGAUGGCGAAGGCAGGUCUCUGGGCUGUAACUGACGCUGAGGAGCGAAAGCAUGGGGAGCGAACAGG
rnacentral:rRNA from 1 species